GAUGAACGCUGGCGGCGUGCCUAAUACAUGCAAGUCGAGCGAACAGACGAGGAGCUUGCUCCUCUGACGUUUGCGGCGGGCGUGUGAGUAACACGUGGAUAACCUACCUAUCAGUCUGGGAUAACUUCGGGACACCGGCGCUACUACCGGAUAAUCUAUUGAACCGCAUGGUUCAAUAGUGAAAUACGGUUUUUCUGUCACUUAUCGAUGGAUCCGCGCCGCUUUGGCUAGUUGGUAAGGUAACGGCUUUUCAAGGAGACGCUGCGUAGCCGACCUGGGGGGGGGUAGGGCCACGCAGGAACUGAGACACGACCCAGACACCGACGGGAGGCAGCAGUAGGGAAUCUGCCGCAAUGGGCGAAAGCCUGACGGAGCAACGCCGCGGGAGUGAUGAAGGGCUGCGGAUCGUAAAACGCUGUUAUUAGGGAAGAACAAAUGUGUAAGUAACGAUGCACGUCUGGACGGUACCUAAUCAGAAAGCCACGGCUAACUACGU
rnacentral:rRNA from 1 species